rnacentral:rRNA from 1 species
AUUGAACGCUGGCGGCGUGCCUAACACAUGCAAGUCGUGCGAGAAAGUUCCUUCGGGAGCGAGUAAAGCGGCGCACGGGUGAGUAACACGUAGGUAACCUGCCCCCCAGUCUGGAACAACUAGAGGAAACUCUAGCUAAUGCCGGAUGAGACCACGAUCCCUUCGGGGGUUGCGGCCAAAGAUGGCCUCUACUUGUAAGCUAUCGCUGAGGGAUGGGCCUGCGGGCCAUUAGCUUGUUGGUGAGGUAACGGCUCACCAAGGCUGUGAUGGCUAGCUGGUCUGAGAGGAUGACCAGCCACACUGGGACUGAGACACGGCCCAGACUCCUACGGGAGGCAGCAGUGGGGAAUAUUGCGCAAUGGGCGAAAGCCUGACGCAGCGACGCCGCGUGGGUGAUGAAGGCCU